GACAGAGGGUGCAAACGUUGUUCGGAAUUACUGGGCGUAAAGCGCGUGUAGGCUGCUUCGCAAGUCGGAUGUGAAAGCCCCUGGGCUCAACCCAGGAAGUGCAUUCGAAACUGCAGAGCUGGAGUCCUGGAGAGGAAGGCGGAAUUCUCGGUGUAGAGGUGAAAUUCGUAGAUAUCGAGAGGAACACCGGUGGCGAAGGCGGCCUUCUGGACAGUGACUGACGCUGAGACGCGAAAGCGUGGGGAGCGAACAGG
rnacentral:rRNA from 1 species